UUUAUUGAUAGAUACCAGCUGAUGGGAAAAGCCUCUUGGAAAUACAAGGCUUAGAUCCCAAUGAGAAAUACAUAUUUGCAGUUGCAGCAUAUUCUUCUGAUGGAAAACUUAUUGGUGAUGCCAUUGGGGAAACAACUAAGCCAAUCCUCGCUUAUCCACCUCUUUCUGCUACUACUGUUCGAGCCUACCUAACUGAGGUAGCCUAUCAGACUGGCAACUACACAUUAGCCAGAGAAGCAUUUGCACCCAUGUGGGAUUAUUUUGUUUCAAAUUCUUCUCCACUGCCUGCCAAUGCAGCUGUUAUUUCUGCAAGUAGUAAUUUGACUAUAUCUGAAAACAGGUUACGUAUUGAAACUGUGUCUCAGACUUCUUCUAUUACCUUGCACCUCUUUCUGAGGAACAUAUUUGCUGUCUGUGACAUUAAUGUCAUAGAAGGAGCACUCUUCUGUGAUUCCAUCUGUUCCAAUGAGAUACUUUUUAAAGAACAAGUAUGUAUGGCUUAAAAUAAUAUAGUGGGUUUGAUUUUACUUUUUGAUCAGCUUUAUUUCAUCGUUGUGAGAUAGAUGUUGCAAUGUAAUAGUCCU
rnacentral:lncRNA from 1 species